rnacentral:rRNA from 1 species
CCUACGGGUGGCAGCAGUGGGGAAUAUUGGACAAUGGGGGGAACCCUGAUCCAGCCAUGCCGCGUGUGUGAAGAAGGCCCUCGGGUUGUAAAGCACUUUCAGUGAGGAAGAACGCCUGGUGGUUAAUACCCAUCAGGAAAGACAUCACUCACAGAAGAAGCACCGGCUAACUCCGUGCCAGCAGCCGCGGUAAUACGGAGGGUGCGAGCGUUAAUCGGAAUUACUGGGCGUAAAGCGCGCGUAGGUGGCUUGAUAAGCCGGUUGUGAAAGCCCCGGGCUCAACCUAGGAACGGCAUCCGGAACUGUCAAGCUAGAGUGCAGGAGAGGAAGGUAGAAUUCCCGGUGUAGCGGUGAAAUGCGUAGAGAUCGGGAGGAAUACCAGUGGCGAAGGCGGCCUUCUGGACUGACACUGACACUGAGGUGCGAAAGCGUGGGUAGCAAACAGGAUUAGAUACCCCAGUAGUC